rnacentral:rRNA from 1 species
UACGAAGGGAGCUAGCGUUGUUCGGAAUUACUGGGCGUAAAGCGUGCGCAGGCGGUUCGUUGUGUCCGUCGUGAAAGCCCCGGGCUUAACCUGGGAACUGCGAUGGAAACUAGCGAGCUGGAGUGUGGCAGGAGGGGGGGUGGAAUUCCGCGUGUAGCAGUGAAAAUGCGUAGAGAUGCGGAGGAACACCGAUGGCGAAGGCAGCCCCCCUGGGCUAACACUGACGCUCAGGCACGAAAAGCGUGGGGGAGCAAACAGG